AGAGUUUGAUCAUGGCUCAGAAUGAACGCUGGCGGCGUGCUUAACACAUGCAAGUCGUACGAGAACUCUUUAGCUUGCUAAAGAUAGUAAAGUGGCGCACGGGUGAGUAACGUGUGGGCAAUCUACCUCCGAAUCGGGGAUAACCCGCCGAAAGGCGAGCUAAUACCGGAUAAUAUCUUUAAAACUUCGGUUUUAAAGAUCAAAGGUGGUCUCUACAUGUAAGCUACUGCUUGGAGAUGAGCCCGCGUACCAUUAGCUUGUUGGUAGGGUAAUGGCCUACCAAGGCUUCGAUGGUUAGCUGGUCUGAGAGGAUGAUCAGCCACACUGGAACUGACACACGGUCCAGACUCCUUACGGGAGGCAGC
rnacentral:rRNA from 1 species